rnacentral:tRNA from 1 species
GGGGUGAUAUAUUCUAUUUAGACUAUAUGACGACUCUAGGAGAGAGUUAGCUCAGAUUGGCUUUUCACCCCU